GUUACAGUGGCCGAGCGGUUAAGGCGACGCCCUGCUAUUUGUAGCAGCCUAGGCGUUGGGUUUUACCUGCGCAGGUUCGAAUCCUGUCUGUGACG